rnacentral:lncRNA from 1 species
CACUGCUACUCAAGCAUCCAGGGCCAGGCUGCUGCCAGGAGCUAUGUCUCUUUCUGCAGUCCUAUGGCAGCCUAUAGCAAACUCUAUGAUGUCCCAGACCUGUUACCACCAAAGGCAAUGCGGAUGCCCCUGGUCUGGUCUGCCACCUAAGGCUCGGUGUUGAGCUGGCCUCACCCCUACCUAGGCAACAUAGUAGAGUUGCCGCCUGUGGGAGCUGGGAGAGCAGGCUCUGCCCUUGGCCCUUGCUUCCUUUGGGAAGUGGGAGAGCAGGCCCCACACCUCACCUGGGCUGCACAGUAGAGCUGACCCUGGUGGCAUGGGUGCUGGUGAGACAUGACAUUAGGAGAAGUGGCCCCUGCUCCUUGCCAGUUGUUGUAGCAGAUGAGCUAGCUGGGGCAGUGCUGGAGAGCUUGCCCUAGUGGUGUGAGCCCAGGAUAACUGAUGGGCUGACCAACUCAGGUACCUCCCAUGCCCAGAUCCAAGGCUUUGAGUUGGCCCACCCCAGCAUCUACUCCAUCAAGUGUAAGGCCAAGACCUGCAGAUCCAGUGCUGCAGGAUCUCCAAGACACAGGGCAGUAACAGUAUAUCAGAGAGAACUCCCUGUGAGGAUCUAGUAUUCAUAGAGUAACAGAAACCAGAGGCCUCAAAACAAACCAAUGACUCCUUGGGCAGAGGGUAGAUACAAAGGGAUGGGGACAAGAGUGGGGUUGGAAUGCAUGAAGUGAAAUUCACA